GGAGGUUUGGCCGAGUGGCUUAAGGCGGCAGUCUUGAAAACUGCUGAUACUUUGUGGUAUCCAAGGGUUCGAAUCCCUUAGCCUCCU
rfam:Mycoplasmataceae bacterium CE_OT135 Contig_22, whole genome shotgun sequence.